AAUCGAUAAUCGCCGGAAGAUCGUAGAUGCCAAACUCGUGAUAACUGAAACACACGACAGAAUCAAUGUAAAGAAGGUGCAAAAACCUCGCGUUUUUAUUAGCUCAAUUUUAGUCGAAUUUAAGUUUUUAUAAAAUUUUCUUUAAUCAAUUGUUAAAUUUCAGAUUCUUUUGAGAGAGCUAAAUAUCUGUCGCAAUACGAAUGCUGUAUCUAACUCAACGCUACCUAAAGUUCCAGAAAGUUCGAUCUGACGGCGACAGCGAGGUGUGAUUUUUGGAAUAAAUGUUGCCUCUGUUAUUUCCAAGCCACACGUCGUAACCAGCGUCAGCUAAUACACCUAUAUAAGCGUACCUAAAGACUUGCCGGGACCCAUAAGGACCCAACCGGCGGAGCUUCCUCCCAUACCGUGCAUCAAAAGUAUCGGCGCUUUUAUCCUAGAAUUCGCUUUGUUGUCAUUUCGGGGACGCG